CCUACGGGGGGCAGCAGUGAGGAAUAUUGGUCAAUGGACGGAAGUCUGAACCAGCCAUGCCGCGUGCAGGAUGACGGCUCUAUGAGUUGUAAACUUCUUUUGUCAAGGGACAAAAUCAGGCUCGAGAGCCUGACCGAGGGUACUUGAAGAAAAAGCAUCGGCUAACUCCGUGCCAGCAGCCGCGGUAAUACGGAGGAUGCGAGCGUUAUCCGGAUUUAUUGGGUUUAAAGGGUGCGUAGGCGGACUGUUAAGUCAGCGGUAAAAGCCCGGGGCUCAACCCCGGCGAGCCGUUGAAACUGGCUGUCUUGAGAUGUCGAGAGGUAUGCGGAAUGCGCAGUGUAGCGGUGAAAUGCUUAGAUAUUGCGCAGAACUCCGAUUGCGAAGGCAGCAUACCGGCGGCGAUCUGACGCUGAGGCACGAAAGCGUGGGUAUCGAACAGGAUUAGAUACCCUUGUAGUC
rnacentral:rRNA from 1 species